UGCCAUGGUAGAGCAGAGCACUUCACAUGGCAGCCAAGAAGCAGGGGUGGGAAUAGAGGGAGGAAGCAGAUCCCCUGUGACAUACUUCCUCUAAGUCCCCACCCUUGACCUUUUAUCACUCCCCUUAAUGUCACCACAUCAUGGAUGCAAGGGAUUGAGCGACAUCAGAGACCUCUGACCCAAUUGCUUCUGCAGACUCCAUCCAGUCUGGGCAUAUAGAGGCCACCCUCCCUCUUCCCCUAGGCAUUUCAUAACCCAGUCAGGUUGAGAAUCACAGGGACAGGUACAAGAUGUUGGAAUCUAGCCUCGAGUGGUGAUGCUGUGAAUUUACUGGGAUCAGGCAAGGCUGAUGAGAUCGUUCUCUCAGAAGCAGAGGCAAAGUGAGACUUGGUCACUACGGUGCUGUUUGAUAAAUGAGUGGCCCACUGCUUUCUUUUCUUUAAUUGAAAAGCCAUUUGUCAAAAUGAAAAUUUACUUCCACAGACAAAUUGGCUUCCAGGGAUUUCCUAAAGUAAACAGCAAUGUUGUUUUGUCUAUCUUUUCUCUUGCCUUUCAAGGGAGAAAGAACAGUUACAGAAGCAGAGGUCUCCAUUUUUAGCCUUGGUAAUUCAGCCACUAAGACAAGGGUCCUUUUUCUCCAGCCUCUCUCCUUCCCCACAUGUCCUUUCUUGCAGACCUUCCUCCUUCCUGUCUGCUCUAUCCCUUCCAUUCCUCCUGAGAAGGUUUCACCCCGAGCCAGAAUGCGGUCAUUGCUCUCCAGCUCUUCCCCUCACUGCUUCCCCAGAGUGGAGCUUCUCUGGUUGCUUUGCGUCUUCUGCCGCUGGGUUUCCCUUGCAACCACUCUGUGUUCUGAAGAGAACACAGAAUCCUGUUCCUUUCUUCUCCUCCCAUUCUCCUCCUCCUCCCUUUCAUCUCCCAUCCUCUCCCAGGAUUCAAAGGCGAGAGAGUGCUUCAUCCCACCUCACCGGUUGACUGUUCUAUCUGUUAGAUCGGCUGGGAUAUAACCCUAAAGUGAAACUACAUAAAGACGGUGUCUUCUGGAAUUUGAUAGGAGUAAAACGAGGACUUCAGAAGGGAAUGUCAAGUUUUGCUGUGGUCUUGCUGCAGUCAGUUUGGGCUUAUUUCCCAUGCUUCCCAUCAGAGCCUGCAGCAGGAGAUCUCAGGUCAACAGAGAGAAACAGGAAGAAUCUUCCUCGGAGUCUGAGGGUGAUUGACAAAUUUCGUCUUUGUUUGUUUGUUUCCUCCUCUAAAUUCAGCUAGACAGGAGUAAACCAUUUACAUUGGCUCCUUAGAUGUGGGAAUUUGUUUCGGGUACCAUUAACCAUAACACUUUCAGUAAGUAGGGAGCAUCACAAUAGAAUUCUCCUCUUAACCUGUCUUUUCUGUCUUCAGGGUUUGGCUUUGUAACAAGAGGAAUUUUUCCUCCUGGUGUCUGUCACCCUGCAGUGGUUGAGGGUGUGUGGGAUAAAGUGGCUGCCAGUCUGAUGUCCCUGGAAAUGUGAAGUGUCUGUUGGAAAAGGCUCGUUUGUUUUCUUGGUCUGUCUUAAGGACAAACUUGAUGAUCCCAAGAGGGAUUGCAUAUCCCCUUCUAGGAGCCCAGUUCAUGCAUUUAUUUCUUUUACAUCAUGCAUGAAGAAGUGCGCAAAAAAUGAAAUUUACUUCUAGGUGGAGACAAGGCCUCAACUCCUUCCUUAAAGAUUAAUCUACUGAUUACUGACUGGGUAGGCCCCUGUUUUAGUUAGUGUUUUAUUGCUGUGAACAGACACUAUGAUCAAGGCAACUCUCACAAGGACAACAUUUAAUUGGGGCUGGCUUAUAGGUUCAGAGGUUCAGUCCCUUAUCAUCAAGGUGGCAACAUGGCAGCAUCUAGGCAGGCAUGGUGCAGGCAGAGCUGAGAAUUCUACAUCUUCAUCUAAAGCCUGGUAGUGGAAGACUGACUUCCAGGCAGCUAGGAUGAGGGUGUUAAGCUCAUACCCACAGUGACACACCUACUUUAACAAAGCCACACUUCCUAAUAUACCCACUCCCUGGGCCAAGCAUAUACAAACCACCACAGGAACCAUCCCCAGAAGGUGGGUUCACUUUAAGGUAAAUGUGCUUUUUCUUUCUGGAAUUCCUCUGCCUUGUGUACUUCCUGUGAGCAACCUGGUGAUUCCCCUGCAUCUACCCCUGCAUGUUCCUCAGAAAGAUGUAAUUAUUUCCUUUUCUUUUUUUCCUGCAUUUUACUUUUAGAUGCUGGCCAGGGACUAAGUAUUCUUUUAAACCUCAGGACUAAUGCUUUGGCCUUUCUGAGCAUCGUUUUAAUCUUCCCAUCCCUACAGUAUGGCUGCCUGCUGCCAGGUGGUUGACCUCCAUUCCACCUAAUCUCAUGCAGCAUGACUUUUGCUCCUUCUCCUUUCCCCUCCUUCCUUCCAAGUACCCAUGAGAUUUACAGCUUGCCUGCCCUGAGGUUCUCCUUUCAAACUCUAAUAAACUGUCCUCAAGCUGCUCCCAGAGUCCGGUUCUCUGUCCUUGAGUUUCUAUUUGUGUCCUUCCUUAAAUUCUUUUAUUAAUGAGACUAAGAACCCCAAGAGGGACUCUGAUCUCCCAGGUAUCAUAUAAUGGCUCUGCUAGAACUGGCACCGGAUCCCCAGCAAUGCCUCCUUCAGGCUUCUUAAUUCUUUAAUUGGCAACUAGAAAGAGCUCACUCCUGCAACCCUAGGUAGUAUCAGCUGGUUUUCAGUCACUUGCGGGUAGACCUGUGCUUGAAAAUUUGGUUGCCUUUAAAAACAGUGACAAACUUAAUUAUUUUUUUAAUGUAAACUAAAUACUCAGAAAGAGGCUAUACAUUAAAACCUUUCUAGCACCAACUCUUUAUUUUUGACAUCCACAGAAACUACCUCCCUUCCCUUGCUUUCACAUGCUAAGAAACAGGUCCUGGAAAGGAAGAAGCCUAAUAAUUUCUCAGAGCUCUCAAGGAGCCCAGCUAAAGGCAAACAUUCUGACUGGACUUGUAGAGACGACCCAUUUGCCCCCACUUACCUGUGAAAACCUCUCACUUCCCAACACCUCUGUUUCUAUGGCAUCCAUUCCUCAUAUAUUCUUCUUUGAAAAAUGUAAACUGCCCCAAAUUGUUUCCACUCGGACCUGAGAGUUCCAUUUGCUGUGGUACCCCUUGCACCCUCUUUGUUCUUUGCUCCCCUACAAGAUCCUAUUCCCCAAUGGAAGAAAACUACUAAAAAAAAGGGUUUUUGGCUAUGUGUCAGGGUGCCCCGAGAACUCUUGAAGAAGAGAGAAAAUGCACUUGAGAUCCCUUUAUAGAAGCUGCUAUCCCCAGAAGACAUGUAAGUCGUUGUACACAUGAUAAGCACCAGGAAACUAGAAACAUUAAAUACAUGGGCAUGUUUCAAAGCAAGAUGUUAAAGCCAUCCUCCUUCUGGAAUGCUGGGAAUGGAUGUAGUUUACAAGCGGGCAAUCCUUUCCUGUCUGGUGAACCAGGUACUGCCUACAGGCUCGCCCAGAACUUAUCCCAGACCCUUCCACCCCCAAAACAUUCCUCUUAGGUCAUACAACUCAUCCUUGUGAGAGAUGUCAUUUACAUUUUACAACAGCCUAAGUGACUUCUAUGUUAUCUCAGGGCCACACCAAAUCCGGACUCCCUUGGUGAUUGUAUUUUCCUUGGUCAUCCUCCCUAGAACCUUCUGCUGUUUGUAAGUCAACAAGAACCCAUCUUAUGGACAAAGCUGCAUGUGUUUUGUAAAGGUUUCAAUGUAAAUAUGUCUCAAGCUUUCUUGUACUCACAGGACUGAGGUAAUUGUAACCUGAACUUCCCCCCACCCCCCAAAUUGUUCUACGCUUCAAUAUGGCAAAAAUAAAUGUGGCUGAUGUCAGACUCUAGAAGUCUUAGCACACGCAGUACUGGUACCUAAAAUCAAGCUGACCUGAGUUUUGCUCGUCUUUUCUCAGAUUCUUUUCCAACCUUCAGGGGACUCUUAAAUCUGAACCUCCGCUCUGUUGCACUGAGCUCGGGAUAUCUUUGCUUAGGACACUGAAGGUUAGUUUAUGUUGUGGGAUACUUGACCUUUGGAUCUGCAAAAAAAAAACGAAGAACCACUGGCAAGAGCUGCAGUCUUUGAGGCAAGGGAGAGCACUUGCAUUGGCUGUAUUGCAAGAAACAUAACCAUGAGCUCUGUUGUGUUUCCUUGCAUGUGUGCACAAAACAAGGUCUGCAUUGCUGACAGGGUCAGAAAGGAACUGGCAGGAAUUGGCUAUUUGUCCCCAAAUGAAGAUGGGGGAUGCAUUGGGCAAUCUUCUCUUGCUGUGGUAAGGCGCCAUGGCUGAUAGCAACUUAAGGAAGAGCGUUUUAGCUUGUGAUUUCAGAGGGGAGUGGAGUCCAUGCAGCAGAAGAUGCACAACAGGGAGACGAAGAGCAAGAUGCUUGCACAUCACAUUUUCAUCCACCCAUAGAAGGGAGAGAGCAAGCAGGGAGUGCAGGAAGACUGUGAACCAUAGCGCCUUCUUCUAGUGAUGGUUUCCUCCAGCAAGGCUGCACCUCCCAAAGGUUCCCUCACCAACUGGAUCAGCUCCAUCCAUUGGCGAUCAAGUGUUCAAACUCCUCCAAGGGGGCAGUCAAGCAGAGCUUGGAGCAAUGGCUGAAGCCGUAGCUGGAUGGAAGGCUGUGGAAGAAACACCCAUCUCCCUUUCCUUAUCCCAUCCAAAAGGGUCACAGUGGACACACGCAUAUCAAGAGGCAGGCAAAGAGAGAGAGAGAGAGAGAGAGAGAGAGAGAGAGAGAGAGUUCUGCAGCAGCAGGGCCAAGCGGUCAUGAAUGGAACCCUCUGAUCCAGUGAGCAAAGGAGAGAACAGUGGGUGACAGAGGACAAAGAUCAGAGUGACUCCUUGCCUCUCCAGCUGCUUCUGAGACCAUUCCUUUGGAGUGUUGCUUUAUAAACCCCAACAAGACGCACUUUGACACCAAGACUGUUAUGAAAUAUAAAAGUGGCAUAACGUG